rnacentral:misc_RNA from 1 species
CAAGUCUGAUAGUGGAGACCA